rnacentral:rRNA from 1 species
CAGCAAGUGAUCUGCAAAACCCUUGAACCGGUUCAAGUCUCCACCCGCACCCGGCGCGCGUCGCUCUCCUCGCAAACGCCCCCGAAACCGCCAACUCACGGUUGCCCCGGCCCAGGCUCUUCUUCGGUCGCACGGGCGGAACCCGCAGGCAUCGCAUCGCGGCAGAUCGGCCCGCGUCGUUGGUACUUUCCGAACGAACGGAAACGGUCUCAUCUCGCUCGUGGGCACGCACGCGUCUACUCACUGAGAGCGUUUGAAUGCACGUCGGCCUCGCCGCGACAACGCCUUCGCCACAAAGCAAACCAUCUCCAUCUCCACAAGCAACCUCCUUCCUGGCCGUCGGAUCCUUCCCGCGUCCGAAUUAAUUAUCUUUCUCCUUCCGACUCACACCUCCCCGCCACCCCGCGCGCGCAUGGCACGGGGGUAUAAAACACCGACGCAAAACCGCCUCAUCAGUCAUCACAACGAACCUCGCACCCUCCGCUCCGGCCAUCCUCCAAACCGUCAGCACUCAGGGCCACCGGAGCUUCGCUCGCCGACCGACUCGACUCGGCCGGCGAUGGGGAGGACGCUGGACGUGCUGCUGGGCCGCACAACGAAGCAGACGGCGCGGCUCAAGUCCCUCCUGCACCUCGCCACGAAGCGGAUCGCGGUGGUGCGCGCGCACCGGGAGGUGCGGUGCGCGCAGGCGCGGGGGGACGUGGAGCAGCUGCUGCGGCAGGGCCACCCGGACCGGGCCCUCCUCCGCGCCGAGCAGGUGAUCCGGGAGCGGGGCACGCUCGACGCCCUCCUCCUGCUCGACGCCUACUGCGCGCUCCUCGCCGACCGCUCCGCCCUGCUCGACGACGCGCACCGGGACUGCCCCGAGGAGCUGCGGGAGGCCGCGGCGGGGCUCUGCUACGCGGCCGCGCGGUGCGGGGACCUCCCCGAGCUGCAGGAGGCCCGCGCCCUCCUCGCCGCCAGGUUCGGCCGGGGCUUCGCGUCCGGCGCCGCCGAGCUGCGCGCCGGCUGCGGCGUCAACGCCAAGCUCGUGCAGCGGCUGUCCACCGCGCUGCCCAGCCUCGAGAGCCGCCAGAUGGUGCUCCUCGAGAUCGGCGCCGACAAGGACAUCCCCGUGCGCCUUCACAGCGACGCCGCCGACUCAUACGAGGAUCCGGCCGGCCGCUCCCACCAUGGCCAUGGCCACAGGAAGAAGAGGCACGACGACGACGACGAGCGGCGGCACGCGACGCCGCGGGCCGACGACGACAACGCUGACUCGCCGCGGACAUUCAAAGACGUGGAAGAGGCGGCGCAGGCCGCGUUCGAAUCGGCUGCCACGGCGGCGGCCGCCGCCAAGGCUGCCAUAGAGCUCUCGCGAGCCGGGCCCGGGAGCCCCGACGACAGGUACAGGAGGAACCCAGGAAGGGCGCAUGCCGACGACGAGACGCUCCACGGCGGCGAUCAUCUGGCCCAUGGCAAGGCCUUCGAGAGGAUUGGACAUGUUCGGAACUACAGCUCAGACGCAGAGGAUCUCCCGGAGAAGAGCAGGAUACGCCCAGGAGCUAGUCCGGUUGAGGCAUGCAUGCUUGUGCGGCUGAAGCAGAUAUAUAUGCAUGGAGUAGCAUGCAGUACGUGAAGAAAGGAUGAUCUAUCGAUUUGUGUGCGUGCAUCAAGAACUCAAGAUCGUCCAGUGAGUUGUGCUCUCAUUAGGCAGGCAUCCACACGGACACGGUGCACUUAUGCAGUUUCAGCGUACUACUAAUUAGGCAGAUUUUGCCGGCCGGAGCGUCGCCGGCGAGGGAGGGCGACGGCCGGCGAUGAUGUCCGACAACGGCAAGCGUGGCCACCUCGACCCGUCAAUCAUCGAGAGUCACUCCCUCUCUCGUCCGUGCCCAGCAGCGACACCAGCCGGUACGAUCGCCGCCCCCGCGAUCGAGGAGGAGCGGCACGACGUGGGCGGUGGAUUCGUCAGGACGCAGCCGCGCGCGGUUGUUGCCGGCUUCAGUCAGGACGGACAGAAGACUCUAGCAGUUUAGCUGCAGGCAUAUGGCCACAGCAGAUAUGGUUUAUUUGAUUUAGUUGUAUUGAUUGAUAGCAGUUGAACUUUUGCACGCAGGAGGCGGCGCUGCUCGACGCGCACCGCGACUGCCCCGAGGAGCUGCGGGAGGCGGUGGCGGGGCUCUGCUACGCGGCCGCCCGGUGCGGGGACCUCCCCAAGCUGCAGGAGGCCCGCGCUCGAGAUAGUGGACCUGGCGGCUAGGGUUGGGAACCUCUCGUGUCGCCCGUGAGGGGGUGACGCAAGAGUCGGGAGAGUCGAGAUUUAUAGAUAGCGACAAUGAUAAUUUUCCUCCUCUUCUUUUAUUUGACAUAAGACUAGAAGAAAAAGGAGGGCUUUCCCAUAUCGAACAUGGCGAGGCGGGCGGAAUAUAUCACAUCAAAUAUCGAUAUGCAUGAACCACGGGUAGUCACAGUAUCAUCUCAAUAAAGGUAUAGGAGUGAAAAUUAUACAAGGAACAUAACAAAUGAAAAUAAUAAUCGUUAUGCUUUCUUUUUCUACAAGGAACAUAACAAAGUGAAAUGAUAAAACGUCAUGCAUAUCCAAUAAAAGGAAAUACUGCAAGUAGCAUCAUGAAUAAAACGAAAGCCUAUACAUAAUAAAGAGUGGAUUUAAUUAACAUCGUUACCCGUGUCAUCGAUUUUCGGGACAACACGAGUCAGUGCCUUUGUCGCCUUCAUUUUAUGAUAUUUUCUUUGCCAUGCGCCCAUCAACUAUAACCCUCCAAUAUAUACAUCACAAUAAACAACAGAUGAAUGACGUUGGACUGAUAGUUCCAAUACCAACAAUGGAAACAUGAGUGAAAUCCUCCUAUGUAUAUGUAUGAAGUAAGAGGAAGGGCAUAAGAGCUGGGAACCAUGUUCGAAUUUGGUCUUGAAACUAACGACGCGGAUGACUAAAGCUCAUGUAGAUUAGCCAUCAAACGUAACACCGAUUCCUUUGUUUCCAUCCUUUUAUUCUGUCCAACACACCUGGCCACUACCACCCAUAUGUCAUAGUAACCAUCUGAUCUUUUUUCACACAAAAUAACGGUCGACAAUACCGAUCAUUUGUGCCUGUUGUGCGGGAGGCCAACCAACAAUGUUCACAAAAAACAUGGCCGGGAGUCCGCCGUGCAUGUCAAUGAUAAUGCUCUUAAACCCCAUAAAGUCAUAUAAAAUAUGUUGGACCAUUCCUAAACAUCAUCUGAUAUUCCAAUCGAACCUUCCAGUCAAAUUAAAAUAAAAGUCUAUGUACUAAUUGGUAAAAUGUACUCGAAUCACAUUUACCACUCAUCAUGCAGUUGACCUC